AUUGAACGCUGGCGGCAGGCCUAACACAUGCAAGUCGAACGAGGGGCGGACGGGAGUGUAGUGUCUGGGCCACUGCCUGUGGGAGGGGGAUAAACACGGGAAACGGUAGACAAUACCGCAUACCAUCGAAUGUGCCCAGAUGGGUAUAGCUAGUAGGUGGGGGAAAGGCUCACCUAGGCUACGAUCCCUAGCUGGUCUGAGAGGAUGACCAGCCACACUGGAACUGAGACACGGUCCAGACUCCUACGGGAGGCAGCAGUGGGGAAUAUUGCACAAGGGGCGCAAGCCUGAUGCAGCCAUGCCGCGUGUAUGAAGAAGGCCUUCGGGUUGUAAAGUACUUUCAGCGGGGAGGCGUUACCCGCAGAAGAAGCACCGGCUAACUCCGUGCCAGCAGCCGCGGUAAUAC
rnacentral:rRNA from 1 species